AGUGAACGCUGGCGGUAGGCCUAACACAUGCAAGUCGAACGGCAGCACAGGAGAGCUUGCUCUCUGGGUGGCGAGUGGCGGACGGGUGAGGAAUACAUCGGAAUCUAAUCUGUCGUGGGGGAUAACGUAGGGAAACUUACGCUAAUACCGCAUACGACCUACGGGUGAAAGCAGGGGACCCUCGGGCCUUGCGCGAUUGAAUGAGCCGAUGUCGGAUUAGCUAGUUGGCGGGGUAAAGGCCCACCAAGGCGACGAUCCGUAGCUGGUCUGGAAGGAUGAUCAGCCACACUGGAACUGAGACACGGUCCAGACUCCUACGGGAGGCAGCAGUGGGGAAUAUUGGACAAUGGGCGCAAGCCUGAUCCAGCCAUACCGCGUGGGUGAAGAAGGCCUUCGGGUUGUAAAGCCCUUUUGUUGGGAAAGAAAUCCAGCUGGCUAAUACCCGGUUGGGAUGACGGUACCCAAAGAAUAAGCACCGGCUAACUUCGUGCCAGCCGCCGCGGUAA
rnacentral:rRNA from 1 species